rnacentral:ribozyme from 1 species
UUUCUAUUUCCCUCGUUCUCUCUUUUUCUUCUUCUUUUUUUCCCCUCGUUCUCUUUACACCUCUUGUGUGUUGUUUUUAUUUGCUUCACUUCUUAUAACAACAGGCAGAAGCUGAUAAGAUUGUGUCCAUCGCCGACGCUGUCGCAUUUAUCUCCUCCCACCCCCAGGCAAAGUAAAGAGAAGAAAACGAGCUAAAAAA